GAUGAACGCUGGCGGCGUGCCUAAUACAUGCAAGUCGAGCGAACGGACGAGAAGCUUGCUUCUCUGAUGUUAGCGGCGGACGGGUGAGUAACACGUGGAUAACCUACCUAUAUGACUGGGAUAACUUCGGGAAACCGGAUCUAAUACCGGAUAAUAUUUUGAACCGCAUGGUUCAAUAGUGAAAGACGUUCUUGCUGUCACUUAUAGAUGGAUCCGCGCUGCAUUAGCUAGUUGGUAAGUUAACGGCUUACCAAGGCAACGCUGCAUAGCCGACCUGAGAGGGUAAUCAGACAAAUUGGAAGUGCAAAAAGGUCCAGACUCCGACGGGAGGCAGAAGUAGGGAAGCCUACGCAAUGGGCGAAAGCCUGACGGAGCAACGCCGCGUGAGUGAUGAAGGUCUUCGGAUCGUAAAACUCUGUUAUUAGGGAAGAACAUAUGUGUAAGUAACUGUGCAAACCUUGACGGUACCUAAUCAGAAAGCCACGGCUAACUACGUG
rnacentral:rRNA from 1 species